AGAGUUUGAUCCUGGCUCAGAACGAACGCUGGCGGCAGGCUUAACACAUGCAAGUCGAACGAGAAAGCUCUUCGGAGUGAGUAUAGUGGCGCACGGGUGAGUAACACGUAGGUAACCUACCUCAAAGCGGGGGAUAACAUGGAGAAAUUCAUGCUAAUACCGCAUAAGCACUUCGGUGUAAAGAUGGCCUCUCCUUGGAAGCUAUCACUUUGAGAUGGGCCUGCGGGACAUUAGCUUGUUGGUGGGGUAAGAGCCUACCAAGGCGAUGAUGUCUAGCCGGUCUGAGAGGAUGAUCGGCCACACUGGAACUGAGACACGGUCCAGACUCCUACGGGAGGCAGCAGUGGGGAAUAUUGCGCAAUGGACGAAAGUCUGACGCAGCCAUGCCGCAUGAGUGAGGAAGGUCUUAGGAUUGUAAAACUCUGUCACUAGGGAAAAACAGCCAGUUGUUUAAUAUACUUCUGGCCUGAUGGUACCUAGAAAGGAAGCACCGGCUAACUUCGUGCCAGCAGCCGCGGUAAUACGAAGGGUGCAAGCGUUGUUCGGAUUUAUUGGGCGUAAAGCGCGCGCAGGCGGAUUAAUAAGCCAGAUGUGAAAUCUCGGGGCUCAACCUCGAAACUGCGUCUGGAACUGUUAGUCUAGAAUAUCGGAGAGGGAAGUGGAAUUUCGCAUGUAGGGGUAAAAUCCGUAGAGAUG
rnacentral:rRNA from 1 species